rnacentral:rRNA from 2 species
GCGAGUCUUUGCAGUAAUGCAAGGCGGACUGCUCAGUAACACGUAGUCAACUUAACCUAUGGAUGGGUAUAACCUCGGGAAACUGAGGAUAAUUCCCAAUAGAUCAUUUAUCCUGGAAUGGUUAAUGAUUGAAAUGAUUCGUCGCCAUAGGAUGGGACUGCGGCCUAUCAGCUUGUUGGUGAGGUAAAGGCCCACCAAGGCUAUUACAGGUACGGGCUCUGAGAGGAGAAGCCCGGAGAUGGGUACUGAGACACGGACCCAGGCCCUAUGGGGCGCAGCAGGCGAGAAAACUUUGCAAUGUGCGAAAGCACGACAAGGUUAAUCCGAGUGAUUUCUGCUAAAGGAAUCUUUUACCAGUCCUAAAAACACUGGUGAAUAAGGGGUGGGCAAGUUCUGGUGUCAGCCGCCGCGGUAAAACCAGCACCUCAAGUUGUCAGGAGGAUUAUUGGGCCUAAAGCAUCCGUAGCCGGCUCUGUUAGUUUUCGGUUAAAUCCAUAUGCUCAACAUAUGGGCUGUCGGAAAUACUGCAGAGCUAGGGAAUGGGAGAGGUAGACGGUACUCGGUAGGAAGGGGUAAAAUCCUUUGAUCUAUCGAUGACCACCUGUGGCGAAGGCGGUCUACCAGAACAUGUUCGACGGUGAGGGAUGAAAGCUGGGGGAGCAAACCGGAUUAGAUACCCGGGUAGUCCCAGCUGUAAACGAUGCAGACUAGAUGAUGCAUUAGCAUAUAGCUAGUGCAGUGUCUCAGGGAAGCCGUUAAGUCUGCCGCCUGGGAAGUACGUACGC